rnacentral:rRNA from 1 species
UGGCGGCGAUAGCGCGGUGGUCCCACCUGACCCCAUGCCGAACUCAGAAGUGAAACGCCGUAGCGCCGAUGGUAGUGUGGGGUCUCCCCAUGUGAGAGUAGGGAACUGCCAGGGC